rnacentral:tRNA from 1 species
GCCGAAGUGGCGGAAUUGGUAGACGCGCAUGAUUCAGGUUCAUGUGUCCGCAAGGACGUGGAAGUUCGAGUCUUCUCUUCGGCACCA